rnacentral:snRNA from 1 species
CGGCUCUCUCGGGAGCUUUCCCCGGGCGUC